UUUAUGGAGAGUUUGAUCCUGGCUCAGAGUGAACGCUGGCGGCGUGCCUAAUACAUGCAAGUCGAACGAUGAAGCUUCUAGCUUGCUAGAAUGCUGAUUAGUGGCGCACGGGUGAGUAACGCAUAGGUUAUGUGCCUCUUAGUUUGGGAUAGCCAUUGGAAACGAUGAUUAAUACCAGAUACUCCCUACGGGGGAAAGAUUUAUCGCUAAGAGAUCAGCCUAUGUCCUAUCAGCUUGUUGGUAAGGUAAUGGCUUACCAAGGCUAUGACGGGUAUCCGGCCUGAGAGGGUGAACGGACACACUGGAACUGAGACACGGUCCAGACUCCUACGGGAGGCAGCAGUAGGGAAUAUUGCUCAAUGGGGGGAACCCUGAAGCAGCAACGCCGCGUGGAGGAUGAAGGUUUUAGGAUUGUAAACUCCUUUUGUUAGAGAAGAUAAUGACGGUAUCUAACGAAUAAGCACCGGCUAACUCCGUGCCAGCAGCCGCGGUAAUACGGAGGGUGCAAGCGUUACUCGGAAUCACUGGGCGUAAAGAGCGCGUAGGCGGGAUAGUCAGUCAGGUGUGAAAUCCUAUGGCUUAACCAUAGAACUGCAUUUGAAACUACUAUUCUAGAGUGUGGGAGAGGUAGGUGGAAUUCUUGGUGUAGGGGUAAAAUCCGUAGAGAUCAAGAGGAAUACUCAUUGCGAAGGCGACCUGCUGGAACAUUACUGACGCUGAUUGCGCGAAAGCGUGGGGAGCAAACAGGAUUAGAUACCCUGGUAGUCCACGCCCUAAACGAUGGAUGCUAGUUGUUGGAGGGCUUAGUCUCUCCAGUAAUGCAGCUAACGCAUUAAGCAUCCCGCCUGGGGAGUACGGUCGCAAGAUUAAAACUCAAAGGAAUAGACGGGGACCCGCACAAGCGGUGGAGCAUGUGGUUUAAUUCGAAGAUACACGAAGAACCUUACCUAGGCUUGACAUUGAGAGAAUCCGCUAGAAAUAGUGGAGUGUCUGGCUUGCCAGACCUUGAAAACAGGUGCUGCACGGCUGUCGUCAGCUCGUGUCGUGAGAUGUUGGGUUAAGUCCCGCAACGAGCGCAACCCCCUUUCUUAGUUGCUAACAGGUUAUGCUGAGAACUCUAAGGAUACUGCCUCCGUAAGGAGGAGGAAGGUGGGGACGACGUCAAGUCAUCAUGGCCCUUACGCCUAGGGCUACACACGUGCUACAAUGGGGUGCACAAAGAGAAGCAAUACUGCGAAGUGGAGCCAAUCUUCAAAACACCUCUCAGUUCGGAUUGUAGGCUGCAACUCGCCUGCAUGAAGCUGGAAUCGCUAGUAAUCGCAAAUCAGCCAUGUUGCGGUGAAUACGUUCCCGGGUCUUGUACUCACCGCCCGUCACACCAUGGGAGUUGUGUUUGCCUUAAGUCAGGAUGCUAAAUUGGCUACUGCCCACGGCACACACAGCGACUGGGGUGAAGUCGUAACAAGGUAACCGUAGGUGAACCUGCGGUUGGAUCACCUCCUUUCUAGA
rnacentral:rRNA from 1 species